CGGGGCUCUCUCUGUAGAGGUAAUUUAUGGUUUGAAAAUGCCAUCACCAUUUGAUGUGCUCAAACCUCAGGUAGGUUCACAAGAUGAGUCAGUGAAGAAUUUCGCCAAGAAAUUGAGAGAGAUUUGGCAAAGGGUACGGCAUGCUAAUACUAAACCUUUGGAGAAACAAGAGAGUAUUGGGCAAAGAACAGGUAAACUGCCGCAAUACUGAAUUGAUCAGUGGGUAUUGUUGGCUAAUCCUUAUGUUCUGAAGGGUAAAACGAAGUUUUUGGCGAAAUAUUCUGGACCGUACCAAGUAAAUGAUAUAGUGUCUCCAGUGAACGUAAAGUUGCAGUUACCAACCAAGUCGUCAGUAGUUCAUGUGAGUAGGAUUAAGCCAUUUAAGGGCACAGUGGAUGCGUUAUCGCGGAUUUCUCCAGCAGUAACAAAGGGUGUGAGGAUACCGAAGCUAAAAGAACAGCAGAGGAACGUUCAUUACACACUUAGGUUUAGGGAUAAGUAGUUUAAGUGUCCUCGGGGAGGAACAUGUCGUAUUUAUUGUUCUUAGGUAAUAGGGUAUGUGUAGUUUUUACUUGUCAUUUGUGUGUUUUAGACGUGGUAAGGAAGGGAGCGAUUGACAUGGCUUCCUUUUCCUUCAGAUGCCGUGCCAGGAUGUGGCCCAGGAAACUUUUCGUCAGUCUGGCACUGCUACACUGUUGCAGAAGACAGGUGGUGCAGGUGCAACCACUAAAUAAGGGAAUUUUGUUUGCAAGACAAUUAGAUGUGGUAUUGUCAAGCCGCAGGUGGACAAUUGUAUUACCAUAUAAUAUAUGGGGAGUGAGGAAUGAUGUACGGACACUACAGGAUAGGUUUACGGCGCUACUGGCGGCCACGGAGAAGGAGGGUUUGUUUCAAGACAUACAGAACGAGUAUCAGGAAUUGAAGCUCUCAUACGAAAAGCUGAGAAGGCAGCUGCAACAAGUAACGAAGUGGUCCUGCAAAGGCUCGUUCGCAGGAAACGAGGGUGGUUGGAUGCAGGGGGAAAAUUGCUGAAAACAGUGUUUGGAACUGCGGACGAGGAAGAUACAAGGAGCUUAAAUAGUACGGUGGGGGAUGUGCAGGAGUUGGCGGAGGAGACAAAGUCGAAAGUGGAUUGGCACAUGACACGUCUAGAUAACAUGGAGCAGGGGAUAUUGAAUGUCACUAGAACAAUGUGGGAGUUGACGUCAGACCUGGAACGGUAUGCAGCAAAUACCAGGAAAGUGUUGAAUGGGGAUAUAGAGACUGUACAGGCGAGAUUGAGCCGAAUAGACAGGAAAAUACAAGUAGCAACUUUAUUGAGGACAUCAGCAGACAGGGUGGAUGAUGCACAUGUCGAAUCAGUGAAGGAGUGCGUCAUGUCUUGCCUCCGGCGAAGCGGAAUUUACCGUUAUUCUAUUGCAUGUCUAAAGUGAGAGUAAUUACAGAUCAGGCGAGUAUACACGUAGAAGUGCAAAUACCAGUAAUGGGUAUCAAUUCGCGGUACCAGUGUUAUACAGUACACCCGUAUACAAUUAGAUGGGGUGCACUUGGGAAGUGGGUGCAAGUGCGAACUCAGGAAGUGUUGUUAGUGUUAAGACGGAGGAGUGAUCAUGUGGUAAUGUCUACGGAAGAUUUGACAGACUGUUUCAGCCAUGCACAGCCGAAGUAAAGACAAUCCUCCGCUACGUCACAGCAAGCGGCCCUAUGCUAGCAAGACUGGUGCGGCCUGGAGCCGGUGUCAUUGCUCCGAGUCAGCGAGGGCUCAGGGAAGGUCGUUGAUAUCACCAAGCUCAGCCAGCCUGUGUUACGCGGGCCACAUUGUACUCGGCAGGAAUCAAGAUGGUGACCUGCACUGAAGAAUUAUAAGAUGGUGGCUGACAAACAGAAAGGAAGCUAUAGGGAGAUAUGUCUUUGUCACCAACUUUUCCCCUUGCAACAAUAAAGUUUUUCAUCGUUGGCAUAACA